rnacentral:rRNA from 1 species
GUCGGACGGUAAGGCCCUUCGGGGUACACGAGUGGCGAACGGGUGAGUAACACGUGGGUAAUCUGCCCUGCACAUCGGGAUAAGCCUGGGAAACUGGGUCUAAUACCGAAUAGGACCACAGAACACAUGUCCUGUGGUGGAAAGCUUUUGCGGUGUGGGAUGGGCCCGCGGCCUAUCAGCUUGUUGGUGGGGUGAUGGCCCACCAAGGCGACGACGGGUAGCCGGCCUGAGAGGGUGUCCGGCCACACUGGGACUGAGAUACGGCCCAGACUCCUACGGGAGGCAGCAGUGGGGAAUAUUGCACAAUGGGCGAAAGCCUGAUGCAGCGACGCCGCGUGGGGGAUGACGGCCUUCGGGUUGUAAACCUCUUUCACCAUCGACGAAGGUUCGGGUUUUCUCGGAUUGACGGUAGGUGGAGAAGAAGCACCGGCCAACUACGUGCCAGCAGCCGCGGUAAUACGUAGGGUGCGAGCGUUGUCCGGAAUUACUGGGCGUAAAGAGCUCGUAGGUGGUUUGUCGCGUUGUUCGUGAAAUCUCACGGCUUAACUGUGAGCGUGCGGGCGAUACGGGCAGACUUGAGUACUGCAGGGGAGACUGGAAUUCCUGGUGUAGCGGUGGAAUGCGCAGAUAUCAGGAGGAACACCGGUGGCGAAGGCGGGUCUCUGGGCAGUAACUGACGCUGAGGAGCGAAAGCGUGGGGAGCGAACAGGAUUAGAUACCCUGGUAGUCCACGCCGUAAACGGUGGGUACUAGGUGUGGGUUUCCUUCCUUGGGAUCCGUGCCGUAGCUAACGCAUUAAGUACCCCGCCUGGGGAGUACGGCCGCAAGGCUAAAACUCAAAGAAAUUGACGGGGGCCCGCACAAGCGGCGGAGCAUGUGGAUUAAUUCGAUGCAACGCGAAGAACCUUACCUGGGUUUGACAUGCACAGGACGCCGGCAGAGAUGUCGGUUCCCUUGUGGCCUGUGUGCAGGUGGUGCAUGGCUGUCGUCAGCUCGUGUCGUGAGAUGUUGGGUUAAGUCCCGCAACGAGCGCAACCCUUGUCUCAUGUUGCCAGCGGGUAAUG